UGCCAGGCCUCACCUUGCAAUGCUGUGUGCAAGCACGUGUUUAUAAGGUGCCAGAUUAGAGCUGUGUCCUGUAGAUGACUUAGCAGCGAAUAAAACAGAUGCAAUGAGUUCCUGGCUAGUGCGGAAGGUUUAUUAGGGAGACUUGAAGAUGCUGGCAUUGAAGAUUGGAGUGAUGUGCCCACAAGCCAAGGAAUGCCACCAGCCACCAGAGCUGGAAGAGGCAAAGAACAGAUUCUUUCCUAGAGCUUCCGGAGGGAGCACAGCACUGCCCACACCUUGA